AGUACAUUAAUGUAAUCCGACGGAACAUCCGAAAGUUCCUCAGCCUUCCUCCUAAAACCCCGAGCUCCCUCCCGUCCGACCUCCUCCUCCUGGCUUCCUUCUUCCCUUCUUCCUUCUUCCUUCUUCCCUAUUCGAAGAAAAACCAAGGUCGAGAUCGAGAGGAGGAUGGUUGAGGGAUGGCAAUCCUCUACUCGCUGGUGGCUCGGGUAUCGAUGAUGCUGGCGAAGUUCGGCGCGGCGGCGAAUACUGGACAAGAUGGAUGCCGCCGGCGACGCCCAAUCCUCCUACUCGCACGAACUGUAUUUCUUCCACGUGAAGCGCUCCGAUGGGAUCGCCGUCCUCUGCACGGCCGACGACUCUGCCGGCGCUCUCUGCACCAAACCAGUUCUCUUGCAGGCUUGAUAGCAUUUGAUGAUGAUGUGUUCAAGCCAGACAAAAUAUGGUGAGAAAUUUUCUUGAGUCCGUGGAGGCCAAGACAAGGUUCCUACAGAGCCUGGACUUGAACGUAUCCAGACUGGGCGAGUUUGAUUGGAUUUUGCCAUGUUUGAUUGGUGUGACUAAAAGCCUAAGAGCCAAAAUUUUGAGUGCAGGAACAAAAAUUACCUGUGCAGCAAUCCAUCAAGUUGAUUCCACAUUGUACAAUUUACUCCAAGAGUUCAUGUGAUCAAAUUCAAAACCUCUCAUGGUCUGCUACAUGACUUUAGAAUC